AAGUAUGAGCAGCACCUGUGAAUUAACUCUAAGCACAUUUAACAGUGUUAAUGUUUGGGGUCUGGAGCCUAGGCCUCAGGAGUCCUUUCAGCCUCUGUCUUCCCCCACUUGGAAUCCUGCCCUGAGACUUCCAUGAACAGAAGCUGGUUCAGCCUCCAUGAGGAUAAAAAGCCUUGUGGAGGGAAACCAAGGUGCCCCAGACAACGGCCAGCAACAACUGCCAGGGUCUCAGGCCAAUGGACCAGUAGCCUGUGAUUCUGAUGAGCGCUCUGAAAACAGGUGAAAACUGUUCAUCCCUUCUUUGGCGUCCUCAUCACAGGUGGUAGAAUUGAACUGCUCCUAGCAGAACCUGGGAAGAAAUACCUCGAGUCAGUUUGUUUUCUGAGUUCUGCCACGGUUAACGGACUUCCUGUGUAGGAGAUGCAGCUGUAGCCUGGCCACAGAAACAGAAGCAUACAGUUUCCACCUCUGACAAUGAAAGCUGGGCCUCGUGAGAGCUGGGAAAACCUGGGUCUGAAUCUUCCCACUUAGCUCGAAGCUCCUGUCUGGACCACAGCAGCCAAUUCUCACAACAUACAGUAGGAUCACGGCGUGAAGAGCACUGACUUAGAAGCUGCAUACGAACACGGCAAAUGACCAGAGAGCAGACACACCAGCUCUGGUGGGACAGCGUUCCUUGGGGAAAACACAGAGACAGGAACAGACAUCGGAUUCUAGAAAAUGGACCCUGAAACUUGAGCUGUGACGUUUUCAAGCUCUGUUGUUAGAGAAACACCAAGCUCUCCUCUGGAGUAAUUAGUGGUCAAAAUACAACACAAGGCUCUGGCAUGGCUCCAAGCCGUCUCCUACCAGCUCGGGAUUUGGGGGUGUGGAGAUCACCGGCCCCUCCCCUUGCAUAAUCAGGGUUGGGGGGGGGGUCAAAGCCUUGUCCCUGCAGCUAGCUGUAGUGGCAAGGCCCAUCCCCCAGUAUUCAUGAUUGUAGAAGGACCACAGCUUUCUCCUGACCUGUUCAGUAGGCUGGAGCCAAGCCUAGAGAUGACCUGGGAUCUGCCCCUUCAACCCUGGGCUGCAACUUGCUUCCUUGGCUCUUUUAGGCCAACUCUUUUUCUGGAAGGCUGAUUAGGAAGAAUCCAUCUUGGACAAAUCAAGGUAUACCUUUCUGAGUCUAGCCCUAAUGAGCCCACUAUCCUUUCUUCCUGAGUUGAUCUUAUUUUCUUAGAAUGACAGGCCUUCUUAUACAGGGGCAGGGUUUGCCUAAGUGAGUUUACUGGCUGGUGGAGCAGAUGUGUGCAUCCUGAGGCAGGAUGCUGUGAAAGAGAAUACCUAGACAGGGCUGAAUUUCAGUUUUCUCCCAAAUCACCAGUCAGCUUAGGCAUUUACCUUCCCAUGGAGCAGUGGGGGUGAAGAGUUGAGAAGCCUUUAGAAGAAACUUUCACUGGUGCUUUUUCCUCCUUGGGAAGGAACACGAGUUUCUUGUCCUUUAUGGAAAUGCGCAGGAGCUCUGAAUCAAAAAUGAACUGGAUGUUACCAUUCUGGACGUGGAUGAUGGUGAUGGUUCCACAAAAAAAUAUGAAUGUAUUUAAUGUCACUGAACAAUACACUUAAAAAUGAUAAAUUUUAGUUAUGUAUGUUUUAGUACUAUAAAACAAACUUAAUCUAAUCUUGGUUUUGGUUUUGUUAUGCUUUGUUUUGAAUAGUUAAUAUAGUCACAAGUUUUUAAAUUUAAAAAACAAAAAUGGCCCAUCAGAAGUUCGCUUCAGGUACAGCAGGUUAAUGAUCCAGCAUUUUAUUUUUUUCUUUUUCUUUUUUGUCUUUUUGCCUUUUCUAGGGCUGCUCCCUCAGCAUUUGGAGGUUCUCAGGUUAGGGGUCUAAAUGGAGCUGUAGCCACUGGCCUAUGCCAGAGCCACAGCAAUGUGGGAUCUGAGCCACAUCUGCAACCUACACCAUAGCUCAGGGCAACGCCAGAUCCUUAACCCACUGAGCAAGGCCAGGGAUCGAACCUGCAACUUCAUCAUUCCUAGUUGGAUUGUUAACCACUGAGCCACGACGGAAACUCCAA
rnacentral:lncRNA from 1 species